rnacentral:rRNA from 1 species
AAUAUAGUUUCGAUUUGGUGUAUAAAGAGUCGGACCUGCCCGGUGACUUAGUGUUAAACGGCCGCGGUACCCUAACCGUGCAAAGGUAGCAUAAUCAUUUGCCUUUUAAUUGGAGGCUGGAAUGAAUGGUUUGACGAGAGCUAAGCUGUCUCCUUAAAAAUAUUUAAAAAUUAACUUUUAAGUGAAGAGGCUUAAAUUUAUUUAAGGGACAAGAAGACCCUAUUGAGCUUUAGUAAAUCUAUGGAUGCGGUCUAAAUGGACUUUUUGUACAAAGUGUACAAAUUUGGUUUAUAGAGAGAUCUUUAGUUGGGGCGACUGAGGAACAGUUAAAGCUUCCUUUUAUAAGAAUUUUUGAAGUUGUAUUGUGUUGCAUAACUGAACUAUUCUGUCUUGUUAUUUUGAUCCAAAGUUGUUUGAUUAAAGGAAAAAGUUACCAUAGGGAUAACAGCGUAAUCUUUCUGGAGAGAUCUUAUCGAAAGAAGGGUUUGCGACCUCGAUGUUGGACUAAGAUAUCCUAAGGGUGUAGCAGCUUUUGAGGGUUGGUCUGUUCGACCAUUAAAAUCUU